UACAGAGGUCUCAAGCGUUGUUCGGAUUCAUUGGGCGUAAAGGGUGUGUAGGUGGCGCCGUAAGUCGGGUGUGAAAUUUCGGAGCUUAACUCCGAAACUGCAUUCGAUACUGCCGUGCUUGAGGACUGGAGAGGAGACUGGAAUUUACGGUGUAGCGGUGAAAUGCGUAGAUAUCGUAAGGAAGACCAGUGGCGAAGGCGGGUCUCUGGACAGUUCCUGACGCUGAGGCACGAAGGCCAGGGGAGCAAACGGG
rnacentral:rRNA from 1 species